UACGUAGGGGGCUAGCGUUGUCCGGAAUCAUUGGGCGUAAAGCGCGUGUAGGCGGUCCGGUAAGUCCGCUGUGAAAGUCGGGGGCUCAACCCUCGGAUGCCGGUGGAUACUGUCGGGCUUGAGUACGGAAGAGGCGAGUGGAAUGCCUGGUGUAGCGGUGAAAUGCGCAGAUAUCAGGAGGAACACCAAUUGCGAAGGCAGCUCGCUGGGACGUUACUGACGCUGAGACGCGAAAGCGUGGGGAGCGAACAGG
rnacentral:rRNA from 1 species